rnacentral:snRNA from 1 species
GCCCUUCGGGGCAUAGUGUGAUAUGAAAAUAUACAGAGAAGAUUAGCAUGGCCCCUGCACUAGGAUGACAUGACUCAAUCAAAGAGAAGUACCUUUUUUUC